rnacentral:rRNA from 1 species
UACAGAGGGUGCGAGCGUUAAUCGGAAUUACUGGGCGUAAAGCGCACGUAGGCGGCUUUGUAAGUUAGAGGUGAAAGCCCGGGGCUCAACCCCGGAAUAGCCUUUAAGACUGCAUCGCUUGAACACGGGAGAGGUGAGUGGAAUUCCGAGUGUAGAGGUGAAAUUCGUAGAUAUUCGGAAGAACACCAGUGGCGAAGGCGGCUCACUGGACCGUUGUUGACGCUGAGGUGCGAAAGCGUGGGGAGCAAACAGG